rnacentral:rRNA from 1 species
CCGUGGCUGCAGUAGGGAAUCUUCCACAAUGGACGAAAGUCUGAUGGAGCAACGCCGCGUGAGUGAAGAAGGGUUUCGGCUCGUAAAGCUCUGUUGGUAGUGAAGAAAGAUAGAGGUAGUCACUGGCCUUUCUUUGCCGGUAAUUACUUAGAAAGUCCCGGCUAACUACGUGCCAGCAGCCGCGGUAAUACGUAGGUGGCAAGCGUUGUCCGGAUUUAUUGGGCGUAAGGCGAGUGCAGGCGGUUCAAUAAGUCUGAUGUGAAAGCCUUCGGCUCAACCGGAGAAUUGCAUCAGAAACUGUUGAACUUGAGUGCAGAAGAGGAGAGUGGAACUCCAUGUGUAGCGGUGGAAUGCGUAGAUAUAUGGAAGAACACCAGUGGCGAAGGCGGCUCGCUGGGCUGCAACUGACGCUGAGGCUCGAAAGCAUGGGUAGCGAACAGGAUUAGAUACCCUGGUAGUC